UGUCUUGCAUAAAGACCUUGUUUUAUGCUGAGUUUGGCAAUUUGAGGAAACUUAUUUACAAGUUUAUGAAAGAGUUAGUGUAUGAGGCUAUCGAGUUAGACCUGAGACUGGGGGUCUUUGUUGUUUCUUUAUAUUUGUUAUGUUAAGCUGAGUAUUACUGUAUUCAAAGAGCUUCACAAGAUUGACUUUACUGUCUAAAAUAAAGAACUCCUAUCAACUCAAGUCGCAUUGCAUCGGUGUUAUUAAUUUUGAAGUGGUGUCCUGACAAUACAUCCAUCCGAGUGAUAGAGAUAGCAAUUCGCGACAAUAACACAAAU